UACGAAGGGUGCAAGCGUUAAUCGGAAUUAUUGGGCGUAAAGGGUGCGUAGGCGGUUGUUUAAGUCUGUCGUGAAAUCCCCGGGCUCAACCUGGGAAUGGCAUUCGGGACUGCAAGGCUGGAGUGCGGCAGAGGAGACUGGAAUUCCUGGUGUAGCAGUGAAAUGCGUAGAUAUCAGGAGGAAUACCGAUGGCGAAGGCAGGUCUCUGGGCUGACACUGACGCUCAUGCACGAAAGCGUGGGGAGCAAACAGG
rnacentral:rRNA from 1 species